UGAGUGUUAGUUGAGAAGAUGGAUCC
rnacentral:piRNA from 1 species